rnacentral:rRNA from 1 species
GACGAACGCUGGCGGCGUGCCUAAUACAUGCAAGUCGAGCGCAGGAAACCAGAUGACCCCUUCGGGGUGAUUCUGGCGGAAUGAGCGGCGGACGGGUGAGUAACACGUGGGCAACCUGCCUGUAAGACUGGGAUAACUUCGGGAAACCGGAGCUAAUACCGGAUAGUAUUUCCUUUCUCCUGAUUGGAAAUGGAAAGACGGUUUCGGCUGUCACUUACAGAUGGGCCCGCGGUGCAUUAGCUAGUUGGUGGGGUAAUGGCCCACCAAGGCGACGAUGCGUAGCCGACCUGAGAGGGUGAUCGGCCACACUGGGACUGAGACACGGCCCAGACUCCUACGGGAGGCAGCAGGCGGGAAUCUUCCGAAAUGGGCGAAAGUCUGACGGAGCAACGCCGCGUGUGCGAUGAAGGCCUUCGGGUCGUAAAGCUCUGUUGUUAGGGAAGAACAAGUACGAGAGUAACUGCUCGUACCUUGACGGUACCUAACCAGAAAGCCCCGGCUAACUACGUGCCAGCCGCCGCCGUAAAAC